AAAUUGAAGAGUUUGAUCAUGGCUCAGAUUGAACGCUGGCGGCAGGCCUAACACAUGCAAGUCGAACGGUAACAGAAAGCAGCUUGCUGCUUUGCUGACGAGUGGCGGACGGGUGAGUAAUGUCUGGGAAACUGCCUGAUGGAGGGGGAUAACUACUGGAAACGGUGGCUAAUACCGCAUAACGUCGCAAGACCAAAGAGGGGGACCUUCGGGCCUCUUGCCAUCAGAUGUGCCCAGAUGGGAUUAGCUUGUUGGUGAGGUAACGGCUCACCAAGGCGACGAUCCCUAGCUGGUCUGAGAGGAUGACCAGCCACACUGGAACUGAGACACGGUCCAGACUCCUACGGGAGGCAGCAGUGGGGAAUAUUGCACAAUGGGCGCAAGCCUGAUGCAGCCAUGCCGCGUGUAUGAAGAAGGCCUUCGGGUUGUAAAGUACUUUCAGCGGG
rnacentral:rRNA from 1 species